AUUGAACGCUGGCGGCAGGCCUAACACAUGCAAGUCGAACGGUAACAGGAAGAAGCUUGCUUCUUUGCUGACGAGUGGCGGACGGGUGAGUAAUGUCUGGGAAACUGCCUGAUGGAGGGGGAUAACUACUGGAAGCGGUAGCUAAUACCGCAUAACGUCGCAAGACCAAAAAGGGGGACCUUCGGGCCUCUUGCCAUCGGAUGUGCCCAGAUGGGAUUAGCUAGUAGGUGGGGUAACGGCUCACCUAGGCGACGAUCCCUAGCUGGUCUGAGAGGAUGACCAGCCACAUUGGAACUGAGACACGGUCCAGACUCCUACGGGAGGCAGCAGUGGGGAAUAUUGCACAAUGGGCGCAAGCCUGAUGCAGCCAUGCCGCGUGUAUGAAGAAGGCCUUCGGGUUGUAAAGUACUUUCAGCGGGGAGGAAGGGAGUAAAGUUAAUACCUUUGCUCAUUGACGUUACCCGCAGAAGAAGCACCGGCUAACUCCGUG
rnacentral:rRNA from 1 species